rnacentral:rRNA from 1 species
CCUAGGGGAGGCAGCAGUGGGGAAUUUUGGACAAUGGGGGCAACCCUGAUCCAGCCAUGCCGCGUGAGUGAAGAAGGCCUUCGGGUUGUAAAGCUCUUUCGGCCGGGAAGAAAUCGCACAGGUUAAUACUCUGUGUGGAGGACGGUACCGGCAUAAGAAGCCCCGGCUAACUUCGUGCCUACAGCCGCGGUAAU